AGCUGACUGCUGUGUCAUACUGCAUUCCUGCAGAUGCCAGCUCCUGCUCCUGCAGAUUGCCAGUCGAGAUGCGGCAAAGCAGAGGCAAACAGCUAGGCACAAAGCAAUAGAGUUGUAAACUUUGUUUUUUUUUGUUUUUUGUUUUUUUUUCCUGCUGCCGCCUAUACUGCCUCUCUCCCAUAGGAAGAACACUACCUCUGGGUAGCCAGGAGCUGAGAUGCAGUCUGAAUGUUCACGGUGGCUUCUGACGUGGCAGCGUGAAUUCUCAGCUGGGCAGGGAGGAACCGGAGGUAUGAAUGACAACUGUUUGAGAAGAAGGUCCCAAAUCCCUCUCUUAAAACCUUGGGAUUGUGCUUGAGACUCAGCCCCGAUGUGUUCCGUGGUGAGUCACUCACCUGGUUUACCCACACUGUAUGCUCCCCCUACCUGCCCCUACCUUGUCAUAAGUGCUGAGGAUUGAACCCAUGGCCUCGUUGCAUGUCAGGUGCUGGGAACAUUAAAUCUUCAUGUCUGGAGGACAAGAAAACUAAAAGUACUCAUUGUUCAGUAGCCACUGAGGCUGAUGGGAGGCGGGACUGUGGAUUCACGUGGCUGACGAUGACUGGUCUUCCUGGCCAUAUUACUUUCUCUUUCUUUUAUCAAGUACAGACAUGGCGCCUGCCUGGAGUGGUGGUAUGAGUGCCCAAUCUCAACGAAACAACCAAGGCCACCUGUUCCCAUUUUUUUUUAUUGCUGUUGUUACAUGUGUAUAUGUGACAUAUGUGCAUGUAUGUUCAUGUGUUUGUGGGUACACAUUGUAUGCCGGUGUGUGUGGAUAUGUCUCUACGUGGCCAUUGAAGAAAUUAAAACAGGAAGACUCGAUUGUUAUCGA
rnacentral:lncRNA from 1 species